rnacentral:ncRNA from 1 species
UUACUGGGGGAGCUGGAGAGCUGAGAGUCCGGCAGGGACGACCCCUGGAACCUGAUCUCGGUAAUGCGAGCGUAGGGAAGUAAAGAAG